rnacentral:lncRNA from 1 species
ACCGGAGGAGGAGGAAAUCUAAUCGUUUGAGUGCCUUUUCUCGGGAAGGUAGAAAACUUUGAAGGUUCUUCUAGCCCAUUCUUGAAACCUGAAUGUAACAUUUACGGCCGUAACCAGCUCGGUGCCGAUUUUUUUCCCGUGCUGCGAAAAAUCUCAGUCGGUGAAAUCUGUGUGCAAGAAUUCAGCAGGUAUGCAACGCAAAAAGAUCAGGAAAAAAAAUACUACUAGCAUGAUGCAAGUCUGUCGGAGACCAAUUGAGCUCCAAAGAAGCUAAUCUAUUCCCUCGAAUCAGCCUUGUAAUGGAGCAAAAGAAACCGAAGGUUCAGAACAUGGAUGGAUGUGUCAUGUGUGCCUCAGAGUAUUACNNN